GUCGUAACAUAACCUGAUUGUAUUUUUAAUUGUAUCAUUUUGUAGUUGAUAGAAUAUAUAUUUUCAAGACAUUAUUACAAUGAAUACAUAAAAGCCUAAGCGAACUGUCAAAAAACAUAUGUUUCGAUGGACGCCGAAGAUCAUGCAUUAGAUCUUAUUCGCCAGGACAUUGUAAAAAAUCAUCUUCAAGUUACAGCUUUGAUACAAGAUAUUCAACAAUGCAUUGGUCCUUUGGAACUGCUCAACGAAUUAAAUGCAGAAGGGAGAGGAAAAAUAGCAGCCUUAAAAUCAUCAAUAGAUAAAAUAACAUUAGCAGCAGAGAAAGAACUGUCUAAGAAGAAGAAAGCAGAAUUAUUAGCAGAAAUAAAUACUUAUAAACAGCAACUCAAUACUUCUUUAGCUGCAUUCCGUAAAGCCAAUGUUGUUAGUGUUUGUGUAAUAGAUAAACUUGCUAAAGAGGAACUACUUUCAAUGCCUGAAGAGCAACAAGCUGCUUUACGUAGAAGACAUGACAAGCAAAGUAUAGCAAACUCAUCAAGUCAGCUCUCUGAUAAACUUUUAAGUAUAUCUAGGCACUUAGCAGAAACAACACAAAGAAGUGCAGAUACAUUAGACACAUUAAUAACAUCAUCUGAUAAAGUUACCGGUACUAAGGAUGAAUUAGAACACCAACAACAAGUUAUAGUUCAAUCUGGAAAACUUUUAGGCAAAUAUGGUAGAAGAGAAGUUACUGAUAAAGCAUUAGUAGCAUUGUCCUUUGCAUUUUUCCUUGCUUGUGUGUUUUAUAUUUUACAAAAAAGACUGUUUUGAAAGUACAAACUAUUAUGGCAGAUAGGUAAUUAUACUUUGAUGGAAGAUGUAUUUUCUAAAGCAUAGUUCAAUCGUUAAUUACUUUAUUUAUGAUAUUUGUUAUUUAUUUUAACCAGAAAGCUGUUUUAUGGCACCAGCUGUACCAUUUUCAAGGCGCGCAUCUAAAAUUUAAAAGUUUAUAAAUAGGACUUACACAAUAUUAGGGUGAAAUGAAAGGAAACAAGAAACGUAGCAACUGACGAAUUGGAACAUUGAUUGCAUUCUAAAUAAUAUACAGAGUAAUACUGUGAAGGAAUUUUUCUUGUCCACUCAAUUCACCAAAACUGAUUAAAUAUUACCAGCUGACUUUGGAUUGCAGAAUCCUGAAACCAGAAGGUACUAUUAAGUAAGUGAGUCAGCUACCUUACAUUAGAAAAUUACUUUUACCAUAUAUUAAGUUUUCUAUUUCAUGUUAGCUAAGCUGAAAGUAUAAUUGCGACAUUAUAUAAUUCGCUGUA